GUGCUGGCUUAGGCGGCACAAUUACUAAAACUGGAAUGAUACAGAGAUUAGCAUGGCCCCUGUGCAAGGAUGACACACAAAUCGUGAAGUGUUCAUUUA
rnacentral:snRNA from 1 species